rnacentral:rRNA from 1 species
AUGAAUGUCGGUACGAUCAUGGAGUCGAAUGAUGCAACUUUCUUUAAAGAUAUCUUUUCCAUGAAGGAUAUGGCUACCUCGUCUAAUCAGGAGAUGCCUAGUUCAUCGAAUCAGGAACCAGUUACAAUUACCGAACCUGCCAUUUUGAUGGAACACUUUGAAAGUCCUGUGGAGGAGAACAAUGAAGUUCCUAUUAGGAGCAAGAGACAGAGGACUGCAAAGUCCUUUGGUGAUGAUUUUCUUGUGUAUCUCAUAGAUGACACUCCCAGUUCUAUUUCAGAGGCCUAUGCAUCUGAAGAUGCUGACUACUGGAAGGAAGCAGUUCGUAGCGAGAUGGAUUCCAUCUUGGUGAAUGAAACUUGGGAGAUAACUGAUCGUCCUUAUGGGUGCAAACCUAUAGGAUGCAAAUGGGUAUUCAAGAAGAAGCUUAGGCCUGAUGGUACUAUCGAAAAGUACAAGGCUCGGCUCGUGGCUAAGGGUUAUACCCGAAAGGAAGGUGAAGACUUCUUUGAUACUUACUCACCUGUGGCUCGACUGACCAUUAUUCGAGUUCUACUUUCACUAGCUGCCUCACAUGGUCUUCUCGUUCAUCAAAUGGAUGUUAAGACUGCUUUCCUAAAUGGAGAGUUGGAUGAGGAAAUUUAUAUGGAACAACCAGAUGGGUUUGUAAUAGAUGGUCAGGAAGGGAAAGUGUGCAACUUGCUGAAGUCUUUGUAUGGACUCAAGCAAGCACCCAAACAGUGGCAUGAGAAGUUCGAAAGAACUUUAACAGCUGCAGGCUUUGUUGUGAACGAAGCUGACAAAUGUGUGUACUAUCGCCAUGGUGGGGGCGAGGGAGUUAUGCUUUGCUUGUAUGUUGAUGACAUACUGAUUUUCGGAACAAAUCUGGAUGUUAUUAAGGAGGUAAAGGAUUUCCUAUCUCGCUAUUUUGAGAAGAAGGAUUUAGGAGUAGCUGAUGUCAUUCUGAACAUCAAGUUGUUGAGAGAUGAUGAUGGUGGGAUUACAUUGCUUCAAUCCCACUAUGUGGAAAAGAUCUUGAGUCGCUUUGGCUACAGUGACUGCAAGCCAUCUCCAACACCAUAUGAUGCUAGUGUGUUGCUUCGAAAGAAUCGGAGAAUUGCUAGAGACCAAUUGAAAUAUUCUCAGAUCAUUGGCUCGCUUAUGUACUUAGCCAGUGCUACAAGACCUGACAUCUCUUUUGCUAUUAGCAAGCUGAGCCGGUUUGUCUCAAAACCAGGAGAUGUGCAUUGGAAAUCUCUAGAGAGAGUUUUGCGUUAUUUGAAAGGCACUGCAAAUUAUGGAAUUCACUACACCGGCCCAAAGGUGCUUGAAGGGUAUAGUGACUCAAACUGGAUCUCAGAUGUUGAUGAGAUAAAUGUCACGAGCGGAUAUGUAUUCACUCAUGGAGGUGGCGCUGUUUCUUGGAAGUCUUGCAAGCAGACCAUCUUAACGAGGUCAACAAUGGAAGCAGAACUCACAGCACUAGAUACAACUACGGUCGAAGCAGAUUGGCUUCGUCGGCUCUUGAAUGACUUGCCGGUAGUUGAGAAACCUGUACCGGGUAUCCUUAUGAACUGUGACAAUCAAACUGUGAUCACUAAAGUGAGCAGCUCAAAGGAUAACAUGAAGUCAUCAAGACACGUUCAGAGAAGGUUAAAGUCUGUCAAAAAAAUUAAAAACUCCGGAGUUAUUGUAUUGGAUUAUAUCCAAACGUCUAAAAAUCUGGCAGAUCCUUUUACUAAGGGUCUACCACGUAAUGUGAUAGAUAAUGCAUCAAGGGAGAUGGGUAUGAGACCCACAAUAUGA